rnacentral:rRNA from 1 species
UACGUAGGGGGCAAGCGUUGUCCGGAAUCAUUGGGCGUAAAGAGCGUGUAGGCGGCUCGAUAAGUCUGCUGUGAAAGUCCAGGGCUCAACCCUGGAAGGCCGGUGGAAACUGUCGGGCUAGAGUCCGGAAGAGGCGAGUGGAAUUCCCGGUGUGGCGGUGAAAUGCGCAGAUAUCGGGAGGAACACCAAUUGCGAAGGCAGCUCGCUGGGACGUAACUGACGCUGAGACGUGAAAGCGUGGGGAGCAAACAGG